UUUCGACCUGCGCGUGAAAGAACACCAGAAGGAGGAAGAGAAGAGGCGGAGGACAAAGAUGCGAAAGCGAAAGCGAACCGAUUGGUAGCUUUUCGAGGAAUUUACGACACGCUAAGAAGCGAUACGGAAGAAGCCAAUUACCUUUCGAACUCUACAGUCGACCUCUCGUAAUCAAUGGAACGCUGAACGUGGCGUACGGACUUAUCUCGUACAUCUCUGCGAGUGAUAACGAGGCAUUUGUGAAACUGUAUUCAUCAAAAUGACUUAUCAGCUGGGAUACAUAGAGCUAUUGGGUUGGCCAAAAACAAAAAACUAUUCCAAGAACGAUUUCAUAUCCUCAUCAGCAGUAAAGG